rnacentral:guide_RNA from 1 species
UUUUGUUUUACAUUUGACUACUUUAAUUUGAUUUUAUUUUUAUGUUUUAACUGAAUCGCAU